rnacentral:rRNA from 1 species
CAAACGGGUGAGUAAUACAUAUCUAACAUGCCCCUCUGUGGGGGAUAGCCACUUGAAAAAGUGAUUAAUACCCCAUAGGAAGCUUUAUCCAUGAUUUAGCUUUUAAAGCCUUCGGGCGCUGAGGGAUUGGGAUAUGCUCUAUUAGCUAGUUGGCGGGAUAAAAGCCCACCAAGGCAAUGAUAGAUAGCUGGUCUUAGAGGAUGAACAGCCACAAUGGGAUUGAGAUACGGCCCAUAUUCCUACGGGAAGCAGCAGUAGGGAAUCUUCCACAAUGGACGAAAGUCUGAUGGAGCAAUACCAUGUGAACGAUGAAGGCCUUUUUGGUUGUAAAGUUCUUUUACGAGGGAUAAUUAUGAUAGUACUUCGUGAAUAAGUGACAGCAAACUAUGUGCCAGCAGCUGCGGUAAUACAUAGGUCGCAAGCAUUAUUCGGAUUUAUUGGGCGUAAAGCAAGCGCAGGCGGAUGUGUAAGUUCUGUGUUAAAUGCAGCUACUCAAUAGUUGUAUGCACCGAAUACUACAUGUCUAGAUUGUGGUAGGGAGUUUCGGAAUUAAGCAUGGAGCGGUGGAAUGUGUAGAUAUGCUUAAGAACACCAGAGGCGAAGGCGGAAACUUAGGCCAUAAAUGACGCUUAGGCUUGAAAGUGUGGGGAGCAAAUGGGAUUAGAUACCCCAGUAGUCCACACCGUAAACGAUGGGUAUUAGAUAUUAGGGCUUUAGCUUUAGUGUUGUAGCUUACGCGUUAAAUACCCCGCCUGGGUAGUACAUAUGCAAAUAUGAAACUCAAAGGAAUUGACGGGGACCUGAACAAGUGGUGGAGCAUGUUGCUUAAUUCGAUAAUACACGAAAAACCUUACCAAGGUUUGACAUCCCUCGCAAAGCUAUAGAAAUAUAGUAGAGGUUAUCGAGGUGACAGGUGGUGCAUGGCUGUCGUCAGCUCGUGUCUUGAGA